rnacentral:rRNA from 1 species
CGACUCUCGGCAACGGAUAUCUCGGCUCACGCAUCGAUGAAGAACGUAGCAAAAUGCGAUACUUGGUGUGAAUUGCAGAAUCCCGUGAACCAUCGAGUUUUUGAACGCAAGUUGCGCCCGAAACCAUUUGGUCGAGGGCACGUCUGCCUGGGUGUCAUAC